GGUAUCUUCCCAAAACAGUGAAAGACAUAUUAUAGUGACCCAUGCAUACCCAUGUUUAUAGCAGCACAGCUCAUGAUAGCUAAACCUUGGAAGAGGCCUGCAUGUCCAGUGGAUGAGUGAAUAAAGAAAAUGUGAUAUUCUUACACACUGGAAUACCACUCUGGAAUAAAGGAACAUAAAUUUGUUUCAUUUGCAGGGAAAUGGAUGCCCUUUGAGAUCAUGUUAAGUGAAAUAAAUCAGACACACAAGCUAAAUUAUCAUAUGCCUUCUUUUAUAUGAGAAAGCUGAAGUAUAAAACAGGAGCAAAAUAAAAGAUAGAUAAUAGGAAACAAGGAGAUAGAUCUUUUGCAUCUGGGAAGUGAUGUAAAAAGAAUGAAGAUGCGUUAUGUACAUGGACAACUCCACACGAGGAAUAUGAGGAAAAAUAAUGUGCUCGGUAUCAGAUACAUCCUAAGUCUUGCUGCUUGAUGCUUUGAGCGGUGCCUGACUCGGAACCCAGCGCUCCCCGAAUGCUGCCCUCCGCGGCUCCCCAGAGAUGGAGAGUCACAAACGCAACAGCAAACGUGAACUAGCACUUGUGUGUCUAUUUAGUUCUCGAGCUUCGUCAAAUAAAGAAGUGGUUAUAAAGAGUGAUCAACAGAUUAAUGGAGAUAUGCAGCCAAUGCAGAGUUUCACCCCAGUACCAAUCACACAGACUCCGCCGUGCAACCAGAGCAGAGGAGGAUGUGGAGACCGAGAACACGGGACUGCCUUCACCCCUCUCAAUCCCAUCUGUGUGUCCCUCAAUGGGGUCCCCUGCGUUCUCUUCUGGGCCAAAAGAAUCACAGUUACAUUUGAGAACCAGACCUGGCUGGACCUUACAGAGGGAGCGUUUGGUCAGAUGGUGGCAGUGGACACACACAACUCCAGCUGCAGUGAGGAAAGAGCCACGUUGUAUCUGAAGUUUGGUGAUACUGACAAUCCCGAAGCCCUUGAUAUGAGCUCCAAGGCUUUGCCGUCCAGGGCGGGCAGUUCGCCAAGGCCAGAGACUGCGCUGCAUCCUUCUCGCCGGCCGUCCUCAUCGGCCUGGCCAUGUCCCUCAUCCUGCUACUGGUGCUGGCCUACGCCCUGCACAUGCUCAUCUACCUGCGCUACCUGGACCGGCACUACGAGUGCGUUGCUGCCUCUCCCACGCGCUUUCCCCAGCUGCGGGCUCGAAGUGGCACCGAGGGGCAGGAGCUGCUCCGGAGCCAGGGCCCAGAGUGCUAUGAGCUGCGGGGCCAGCCGAUCUGCAAGAUCGACGUCUGACCUCUGAUGUUGGCCUCCCUCCUGCCCGAGUUCACAGCGGCCCCGGUGGGGCAGCGUCUCUCCUCUAUGCUGUCGGACUUGUAAAUGGCCUGGUUAAAACACACAAAUAUCAGAAAAGGCAAUGCACAGGGAGUUGGUCUUGAAGCAUCCCCUGGCCCACUUAGACGGACAUGGGCAAUGAGAAGGUGCUACAGGGGUCCUGCCUUGCCAGUGAAGGGAUCACUGGUCGGAGAGAUGACGGGGAGAAGAGAGGGGUGAAGACAAAGGAAAAUCUACCAGGUCCUCCUUGCCUGACUGAAUGUGUGUGUGAUAAGGACAGAAAUAAUAAACCUAAGGUUAUCUGCAAGUUCAGAAUAGAAUCUGCUUUGUCUGUUAGCAGAAAUUGUGUCCCAAUUUUUCUUAAAAAGUAGUCCUCUCUCCCUUCCAUCCAGCUGUGAGGACCGACUCGUGUCAGUGUGCUAGAGCACCCGUGAGGGGGUCUUCUUGUCACCUCUUGAGCUGCAGAAGCAACUCUGACCCCCUGUGUUGUAGGAGUGAGAGCCUCAGUUACAUCUGCU
rnacentral:lncRNA from 1 species